UACGGAGGGGGCAAGCGUUGUUCGGAAUUACUGGGCGUAAAGGGCUCGUAGGCGGCCAACUAAGUCAGACGUGAAAUCCCUCGGCUUAACCGGGGAACUGCGUCUGAUACUGGAUGGCUUGAGUUUGGGAGAGGGACGCGGAAUUCCAGGUGUAGCGGUGAAAUGCGUAGAUAUCUGGAGGAACACCGGUGGCGAAGGCGGCGUCCUGGACCAACACUGACACUGAUGAGCGAAAGCCAGGGGAGCAAACGGG
rnacentral:rRNA from 1 species